rnacentral:rRNA from 1 species
GACGAACGCUGGCGGCGUGCCUAAUACAUGCAAGUAGAACGCUGAAGCGAGGAGCUUGCUCUUCUUGGAUGAGUUGCGAACGGGUGAGUAACGCGUAGGUAACCUGCCUGGUAGCGGGGGAUAACUAUUGGAAACGAUAGCUAAUACCGCAUAAAAUUGAUUAUUGCAUGAUACUUAAUUGAAAGAUGCAACUGCAUCACUACCAGAUGGACCUGCGUUGUAUUAGCUAGUUGGUGAGGUAACGGCUCACCAAAGGGAAGAUACAUUGCCGACCUGAGAGGGUGAUGCGCCAACCCGGGAAUGAGAAACGGCCCAGGCCUCCUCGGGAGGCAGCAGUAGGGGAGUCUCGGGAAGGGGGGGAACCCUGACCGGGGAACGCCGCGUGAGUGAAGGAGGGUUUCGGGUCGUAAAGCUCUGUUGUAAGAGGAGAACGGAUGUGGGAGUGGAAAGUUCACACUGUGACGGUAUCUUACCAGAAAGGGACGGCUAACUACGUG